rnacentral:rRNA from 1 species
GACGAACGCUGGCGGCACGCCUAACACAUGCAAGUCGAACGGACUCACAAGAGCUUGCUUUUUUAAGUUAGUGGCGGACGGGUGAGUAACACGUGAGCAACCUGCCCCUGAGAGGGGGAUAGCUUCUGGAAACGGAUGUUAAUACCCCAUAAAAUAUAACUAUCGCAUGAUAGCUAUAUCAAAGAAAUUCGCUCAGAGAUGGGCUCGCGGCUGACUAGAUAGUUGGUGAGGUAACGGCGCACCAAGCCGACGAUCAGUAGCCGGGCUGAGAGGUUGAACGGCCACAUUGGGGGUGAGACACGGCCCAGAAUCCUGCGGGAGGGAGCAGUGGGGAAUAUUGCAAAACGGAGGGAACUAUGAUGGAGCGAGGCCGCGUGGAGGAAGAAGGUUUUAGGAUAGUAAACUCCGUUUAUCAGCGACGAUAAUGACGGUACCUGAAGAAAAAGCACCGGCUAACUACGUG